ACCACAUGUAAAUUGUAUAAGUUGUAUAUGGGGUGGGAAGAGGAGAAUUUGACCUAUUAACCACAGCGAAUUUGAAGAACGGCUACAGCGAAUUUGUAAAACGGAAGACGAACAUGUGGGUGUUGAAACAAUGUGUCAUGCAUAUAAAAGAAAUGAAAUUCCUUUUGACGACUCCCCUUGAAGAUCUGUUCUCGUUUUGAGCAGCAUUGAACCAUGAACAAGUCACACUCUUUAUUAUCACAUAAGGUGGCGUGACCAAGGAAGGAGUUCAUUACCUUAUUGCACUGAAACUUGGAGUAAUAACUUCACCCGUAUAUACUAUGCUGGCCUAGUAGAAAUAUCUAUAUGGUUAUUAGAAAAGAACACCUCAAAAGAACUUGCCACUUUUUCUCUGAAGAAGAAUCUCUAACCCCUCGAACUUCUGGAGAUAACUUACAUUGCCGCUUAGACUCUUCAGACUCCCCAGAUCCACUACUAGACCACUCAGACUACAUGAAAAUAAAAGAAACCAAGAAGGCAUAUAUGUACCUAAAAGUAAGUCAGACUUCGAUCCAAAAGAAAAAAAAAAGGAUGUGCUCGACUUUCGGACAACAACAAUAAGCUAUGAAGUAUGGAUACCUUAGUCCCUUAUCAUGUCCGGGUGUCCAACAUACACCUGCAUCCGAUAAUAACACCGAUAUGACGCUCAUAUGACAGAUGUUCAUGUUCUAAUAUUUUGGACAUUACAGUUGUCUCCGUAUUUAUAUUGUAUCUGAUAUUCC
rnacentral:lncRNA from 1 species